GCGGGACACGUGGUAUCCUGUCUGAAUAUGGGGGGACCAUCCUCCAAGGCUAAAUACUCCUGACUGACCGAUAGUGAACCAGUACCGUGAGGGAAAGGCGAAAAGAACCCCGGCGAGGGGAGUGAAAAAGAACCUGAAACCGUGUACGUACAAGCAGUGGGAGCCUCUUAAUGGGGUGACUGCGUACCUUUUGUAUAAUGGGUCAGCGACUUAUAUUCUGUAGCAAGGUUAACCGAAUAGGGGAGCCGAAGGGAAACCGAGUCUUAACUGGGCGUUAAGUUGCAGGGUAUAGACCCGAAACCCGGUGAUCUAGCCAUGGGCAGGUUGAAGGUUGGGUAACACUAACUGGAGGACCGAACCGACUAAUGUUGAAAAAUUAGCGGAUGACUUGUGGCUGGGGGUGAAAGGCCAAUCAAACCGGGAGAUAGCUGGUUCUCCCCGAAAGCUAUUUAGGUAGCGCCUCGUGAAUUCAUCUCCGGGGGUAGAGCACUGUUUCGGCAAGGGGGUCAUCCCGACUUACCAACCCGAUGCAAACUGCGAAUACCGGAGAAUGUUAUCACGGGAGACACACGGCGGGUGCUAACGUCCGUCGUGAAGAGGGAAACAACCCAGACCGCCAGCUAAGGUCCCAAAGUCAUGGUUAAGUGGGAAACGAUGUGGGAAGGCCCAGACAGCCAGGAUGUUGGCUUAGAAGCAGCCAUCAUUUAAAGAAAGCGUAAUAGCUCACUGGUCGAGUCGGCCUGCGCGGAAGAUGUAACGGGGCUAAACCAUGCACCGAAGCUGCGGCAGCGACACUAUGUGUUGUUGGGUAGGGGAGCGUUCUGUAAGCCUGUGAAGGUGGCCUGUGAGGGUUGCUGGAGGUAUCAGAAGUGCGAAUGCUGACAUAAGUAACGAUAAAGCGGGUGAAAAGCCCGCUCGCCGGAAGACCAAGGGUUCCUGUCCAACGUUAAUCGGGGCAGGGUGAGUCGACCCCUAAGGCGAGGCCGAAAGGCGUAGUCGAUGGGAAACAGGUUAAUAUUCCUGUACUUGGUGUUACUGCGAAGGGGGGACGGAGAAGGCUAUGUUGGCCGGGCGACGGUUGUCCCGGUUUAAGCGUGUAGGCUGGUUUUCCAGGCAAAUCCGGAAAACCAAGGCUGAGGCGUGAUGACGAGGCACUACGGUGCUGAAGCGACAAAUGCCCUGCUUCCAGGAAAAGCCUCUAAGCAUCAGGUAACAUCAAAUCGUACCCCAAACCGACACAGGUGGUCAGGUAGAGAAUACCAAGGCGCUUGAGAGAACUCGGGUGAAGGAACUAGGCAAAAUGGUGCCGUAACUUCGGGAGAAGGCACGCUGAUAUGUAGGUGAAGCGACUUGCU
rnacentral:rRNA from 1 species